rnacentral:lncRNA from 1 species
UGUGGUUCUCAGGCGGCUGAGGCUCAAGGCCUCCUCCAUUCUGUCCAGCAGCAGCUGCAGGAGCAGAUCCAGAGUUUCCAUGACCUUCAAACCACCAGAGAAGAGGAGCAAAGUCGGUUGGAGCAGCAGCUUUCAGAGAGGGCGGCUCUCCUCCAGUCUCUCCAGGAGGAACUCCAGGAACAGAAGCAAAGCAAAUCUGAUCAAGCGAAAGAGUUUGAGCAGAGAGAGUCCGAUUUGAAACAUCAGGUGAUGCAGACUGUUGUUUUACUGCAUGUUUCAGCCCUAAACCUCAGUUUGGAAGUUCUUCCUGUUCACUUCCUCCUUCCUUUCUAAAACAGCUCCUGCUUCUGACUGAGGAGCUUGAAAAAGCAGAGAGAAACCAUGUGAUCCUUCAAGAGGAAGACUGUGGUCAGAGAUCCUCAAAGGAGGAGGAGGAAGAGCUGCUCAGAGUGACGGCGCUCACAGAGGAGAGAGAUCAGCUGCAGCAGGAGCUCAGAGAGGAAAAGCAGCUGAAAGGAGAGUUGGAAGGAAGGGUGGAAAUGCUGCUGGCAGAGAACAUGAAUUUGCAGACUGUUGGAGAGCAGAGGAAGCAGCUGGAGGAAGAUCUGCAGCACAGCAUGGAUUUGGUGAGCAGAAAGUCACUGAUUCACGUAUUUUUUAGUUUCUGUUUUUGAUGAAAAGCUGA